UAGCUCAAGAGCAAAGGGGAGCUAAAUCCGAUAAAGGGAAGGAAAAAGUAGUUGAAUAGCCGUCGAAAUCGCUCGACAACAUCCAAGGUUUCGCUCGUUAGCUAUCGGAUUCGGGAUCAAAGAAGUCGAAGUCAUCCACACUAUCGAAGCCCCAUUUUGGUACAAAUUUUGGUUGAACUUUGAAAUGGCAUGUAUAGGACCAUCCUUUGUUGAAGGUCAUGUACCUUCCGGUUUGUGUAAACUUGAAUAGCCAUGCGAAAAUGGCUUAUAUACGUUUUUAGCAUAGAACUAUAAUCGUUUGUAUGUUGACCCUUAUGAGGUAUGGAAUUAUUUUGAAACGAUUAGCCAUUGGAAUGGUUAA